CCUUCACCCAGUCACGUGCUCAGAAGCUUUGUGAGUGCAUGUGGUUGCUUUUGGCUUAGUGUGAGAGUGCAGCCCACGUGGAUGCUUUGGAGGCAAAGCAGCAGAAGUGGACUGAGAACCAGCUCGUUUUUUCCAGAGUAAGAGGGACUUGCCACAGAGUACCUGCAACACUGAGAGUGAAGUGGCUGAAUGAAGAAUAGGAAAUGUGAACGUUAAGCCAAGCUUGGAACUACAGCAGAGAAAUGAACCAUAUAACAAAGAUAAUACAAAUGAGAUCUCUAAGUCAUUGGCUGAUAAACACAGCUCCUAGUGCUAUGCUGACCUCCACAUUAACUUUCUGCUCAUGUUUCUUUACCUGUAACAGAGAGGGCCAGAACAGAGGAAGAAGACUAAGUCUCUUUUUUACCAAUCCAUUACAGUUUCACCUGUAUGUCUAAUGGGCUGCCAAUAGCACUGUUGAAAUGGUAUUUCAGAAAGGCAGAGGCACCUGCUAGAGCAAGGAUUUGACCUGUGUAUUUUCCAGUCCCCUGUACACAAGAAUAAUCUUUAAGAGACAGCCAAAUUUUGAUGAGUUGUGCAAUGCAU